rnacentral:rRNA from 1 species
UACGGGGGGUGCGAGCGUUGUUCGGAAUCACUGGGCUUAAAGGGCGCGUAGGCGGGCUGUCAAGUCUGGGGUGAAAUCCCGCGGCUCAACCGUGGAACUGCCUCAGAUACUGACGGCCUCGAGGGAGAUAGGGGCGAGCGGAACUAAUGGUGGAGCGGUGAAAUGCGUUGAUAUCAUUAGGAACUCCGGUGGCGAAGGCGGCUCGCUGGAUCUCUUCUGACGCUGAGGCGCGAAAGCUAGGGGAGCAAACGGG